CCCGGCAUUUCCCUUCAGAGAGUUGCUGGGGAUGCACACCUGCUCUGGGACAGCCGGAGUGCGCAACCCGCACUUCUACACGCGCGCGCCGGGCAACAUAGCGCACCGCGGGUACACGCACGCCGACCGGACACACGCAGUCUCGUACACGCCCAACGAGCGCACACACCCGCACUCCAUGCACGCGCGAUGGGCGCACACACUCGCAUCCCUACACGUGCACACACCCGCGCUCCAAUUACCGCGCUAGCGCGCAAAAGAGCCGCAACUUCCGAGUGGGACUCGGCAUGCGGGGGCAGUGCCCGGUACUUCACCAUCAGUCACCUUCGCGUCCGCCUCCUCCCCUGCUGGUUGCACCUCCAGCCGCAGAGAUUUCCGGCUGGGGCACCAGAACUGUCCAGGCCGAAAGAGCUGCUCCUCCGUCACAAAGCGCAGUUGCACACUGUACUGCAGGCGCGCGGGGACCCGGGCCGGAGCCGGGGUCGCAGCCAUGGUCCAAGCGCCUCUGCUCCUGAGCCCUAGCAGUGCCUCCCCCGCGCUGCUCUGGGCACCGAGAAACUGCUGGGGCAAGGGGGAGGGAUUUGGAAGCGCGCACCACCUUCCCCAGCUCCCGUUGCAAGUUCAGUCUUCGACCUCCGAGACGCCCGGUGACUUCUGCUGGCACCUGCUGCCCUCGGCAUCACCUCCCUCAUCCCCCUGGAGGGCACGCUGGAAAGCUGCAACUCCCCACCCUCCGCACAGGAGCGCCCCGUAGACGCGCAGAUGGGCCCAGCCACCCAGCGGGGCGGCAGCCCUGAGCACACAAGUUUGGAGAGCGCGCGAGGCACCUGAAAGUGGUUGGGGUUUGGAAGCAAAAGGGUGACACCUGCUGUUCGCUGGGACCGCUCUGCGGGUGUGGGCGUCGGUUUGGAAACGUCCUUUGCCUGAGCUCUGCUUGGCUGUGUGCCCCAUUCUUAUUACUCUAUCUCAGUGGGUCUCAAUCCCGGCUACACAUUGGAAUCACUUGGAAAGCUUUAAAAAUAAAACCAAACCUGUGCUUGGGCUCCACCAUAGGUGUUCACCACAGCUGUCAGUAUAAAUCAAUGCAUCUUGGUUCCAUUCUUCAUCAUUUGCUGGUAGCUAAAUUAUGUUGUCCUGAACACCUGCGGAGGUAUUUUGUGCAGGAUGGUUUACCACAUUGGCCUUGGGAGUUGAGGAAGCACCAGCUUAGGUUCUGCCACGUGCUCUUUCCUGACAGCGAGUGCUGCUGGCUGCUGACGCCUAGAAUCUCAGCACGGGAGCUGCCUUUGUCACAGACCUUGGUUCCCCAUUCAAUCGAGCACCUGUGCAGUUGCCCUGUGGUCUAGCAUCCCAGGCUCAGCAGUGACAGCUCCUGAUGGGCUUUCACCUGACUUUCUAAAUCAGUGCUGUUCUAAAUCUGUGCUAAAUCUGGUGACCAGCCAGAGCCUGGUCACCCCUGCAUGGAGUAGGAGUGAAGCUUAUGAAAAGGUGAGGUGCCAAACACACAGAGGAGAACACGGAGGAGGCCAUAUUGUAAUAAAGAGAAAGCAAGCAGUCAGAAGUCACCCCAUAAAACACCUUCCACCCUCUGAGCAUGACCAGCAAAGCGGUUUCUUCUUGCGGACACUGCAUCAGCCCAGCUCAAAGUGCAUUCCAUUCUGAUGAACAUCCACAAACAGUUAUGAAGAAGACCCAAAUGUCAUGAUUUUGUUCCUCUCAGAUAAUAAAAAUAUCAUGAUUCUGAAGGAGUGUUGGUGGGUGUUCAAGUCAAUUCAGUUACAAGCAUACGCCUUACCCCAGUUCUCGUGGCUUCAUCCUGAAUUAGAGUUGUCCCCUGUCAUCUGGAAUAUAUUUCCCAUUGAGACACAUUACUCUCACUCCUUCUACAGCUGUCCCAGGGUCAGUGCUUGAUUUCUCAGAGAUUUUGUUAUGUGAAUCAGUCCAAAGUGUGUUACAGCAAGACUAAGUCAUCAUGAGUCACAUGAUCCACACAUUUCCUAUUUGUAUCUUUGCUUGGUUGAGUGUGUUGUGGGGGGUUAGAAUAUAUUUUGGUCUGCUUUAACCUUUGUGUUCCAAUUCACUCUUAGGUUGAAAGAAAAAUAUAAACUCAAAUUUAAAGAAUAGCCUUCUUGUAAAAGACAAGCUUGGCUAUGACUAAGCAGUUGUUACUUGAUGAGCGAGAGAAGCCCCUUCUUGGGUAAUUGGGGCUGCAGGAAUGGAGUGACCGUUUCCCCAUCAGCAUCCCCUCUGGGUCCUUCAGGUCUGAGCUAGAAGAGCAAGGGCCAGCGUCCCCCAGCACAUAGUUGUCUUGAUGCCACAGACAAAAUAAUUUAAUUCAUGUAUGCGUCCUCAUAAAUCUGACAAAUGUUUAGAAAAUGGAAGCUUUG
rnacentral:lncRNA from 1 species